rnacentral:lncRNA from 1 species
CAUUCUUUGUUAAUUGGCGAAUCCUUCUACACACAGAUCCAAUAGAUGCUACAUCUCUUGGUGUCAAGCGUGAGAGAAUGUUGUGAGCCAAAACUUCAUCAGAGAGUUGAAGUAUUCCACAUAUAUCUUGAUGCUGACUGAGAGGUGAAUGUCCACCCGAAAAAUAUUGAGCUGACUGAUCAUACUGUUGAUUACAGUUCUCUUUAAAUACUGGAUAAGACACAUGAUUAAGAUCUAUCUUUGCUUCAGAAAAGAUUUGAAUACCAAUUAUGUGUGUUACAGUUCCAUCAUCAUCACGUAUGGGUGCAAGUCUAAGUCUGUUCACCAACGGGGUACCAUCCUUCUUGAAGUUGAGUAGCUCCCCUUGGAAUUCAAUGCCUUCUUCAAGACAUCUUCUGAUCUCAGAAACAACAACAGGAUCGACCAAAGGG